rnacentral:pre_miRNA from 1 species
UUAAUACUCCCUCCGUCCCAAAAUUCUUGUCUUAGGUUUGUCUAGAUAUGAAUGUAUCUAGUCACAUUUUAGUAUUUUGAUACAUCCAUUUUUAAACAAACCUAAGAAAAGAAUUUUG